rnacentral:rRNA from 1 species
GGUAAUGCCGGAUGUUCCACAUGAUCGCAUGUGAUUGUGGGAAAGAUUCUAUCGGCGUGGGAUGGGGUCGCGUCCUAUCAGCUUGUUGGUGAGGUAACGGCUCACCAAGGCUUCGACGGGUAGCCGGCCUGAGAGGGCGACCGGCCACAUUGGGACUGAGAUACGGCCCAGACUCCUACGGGAGGCAGCAGUGGGGAAUAUUGCACAAUGGGCGCAAGCCUGAUGCAGCGACGCCGCGUGAGGGAUGGAGGCCUUCGGGUUGUAAACCUCUUUUGUUUGGGAGCAAGCCUUCGGGUGAGUGUACCUUUCGAAUAAGCGCCGGCUAACUACGUGCCAGCAGCCGCGGUAAUACGUAGGGCGCAAGCGUUAUCCGGAUUUAUUGGGCGUAAAGGGCUCGUAGGCGGCUCGUCGCGUCCGGUGUGAAAGUCCAUCGCUUAACGGUGGAUCUGCGCCGGGUACGGGCGGGCUGGAGUGCGGUAGGGGAGACUGGAAUUCCCGGUGUAACGGUGGAAUGUGUAGAUAUCGGGAAAGAAACA